UGUACCCUGGUAGUCCACGCUGUAAACGAUGUCGACUUGGAGGUUGUGCCCUUGAGGCGUGGCUUCCGGAGCUAACGCGUUAAGUCGACCGCCUGGGGAGUACGGCCGCAAGGUUAAAACUCAAAUGAAUUGACGGGGGCCCGCACAAGCGGUGGAGCAUGUGGUUUAAUUCGAUGCAACGCGAAGAACCUUACCUACUCUUGACAUCCACGGAAUUCGCCAGAGAUGGCUUAGUGCCUUCGGGAACCGUGAGACAGGUGCUGCAUGGCUGUCGUCAGCUCGUGUUGUGAAAUGUUGGGUUAAGUCCCGCAACGAGCGCAACCCUUAUCCUUUGUUGCCAGCACGUAAUGGUGGGAACUCAAAGGAGACUGCCGGUGAUAAACCGGAGGAAGGUGGGGAUGACGUCAAGUCAUCAUGGCCCUUACGAGUAGGGCUACACACGUGCUACAAUGGCAUAUACAAAGAGAAGCGAACUCGCGAGAGCAAGCGGACCUCAUAAAGUAUGUCGUAGUCCGGAUUGGAGUCUGCAACUCGACUCCAUGAAGUCGGAAUCGCUAGUAAUCGUAGAUCAGAAUGCUACGGUGAAUACGUUCCCGGGCCUUGUACACACCGCCCGUCACACCAUGGGAGUGGGUUGCAAAAGAAGUAGGUAGCUUAACC
rnacentral:rRNA from 1 species